GGCACGGUGAACUAGCGGUUAGAACGCUGGCCUUGUAAUCCUGGGGUCUCGGGUUCGAUUCCCGGCGGUGCCA
rnacentral:tRNA from 1 species